UGCUGGGCUGGCUGGCAGGCAGUUGCCUAGCCCCAAGCCGGGCGAACACGCCACGCGUAGGUGCCCAGAGCCCCGCUGGUGUCCCACCAGUUUCCACUGGGGAUCGCUGAGGGACUCCCAGACCUGGAGCUGGAGGAGGGGCCCCCAGAAUGGCUGGACGGCCCAUCAAACAGGCAAGGCUGCAGUGCUUACCCCCUGCUCGCCCCAAGAUCUGAAUGGGUGGGGUUGAGGGUUCCCAGCCUCAGAUGGGUCUGAGCUGGGGCGGGGGGGCGGUUUUUGUGAAAACAGAGCAAGUAGCAGGAAGGUCAUGGCCCCAGGGCAGGAUCAGGGGCCAAAGGCUGUUGACAGAGACUGGUUCCUGCUUCCUCCCCACCCCCGUGGGGCGGGGCUGACCUGGAUGCCGGCCACGGUGCAACUCCCCACCAACCCUCAUCCCCCGGCACAGAAGGACCUAGAGACAGUGAGGGCCGGUCCACGGAAGAUGCGGGUGCCCAGACGUCAGGGCGUCAGGCAGUUCAGGGUGGGGACAGAUACCCCGUGGCCCAGAAGUGGGAGUGGAGACCGCUGGAGAGCCUGUCACAGCAGCGUCCCCCAUGUCAGCCAGAGGCCCUGUGAGCACCCCCGUGCUUGGGAGCUCCGACCCGACAGAUCUCACGCAACCAUUCACAGGCCGCAGGAACCAAAAAGCAGGAAGACCCCAAGCGCAUGCAGGUGGGCCCCAGGCCGUGUCCCCAGGCCGAGUCCGGCGCCUCUCUCUGAGAUGGGGGCGGGAAACCAAGGGCCAGCAGCCACCCUGGCCAGAUGGAGAACCCAGGGCAAGGAGGGCGCCGGAGGAAGCAGAACAAGACGUCGAAACUGUGGGCACGCGGAUUCCCCGGCAGUGACGGUAACAGGCCGGGUUGGAAAACAGAACGAGAAAGAGCCCGUGUAAAGUAAAACUAUAAUACGGGAAAUUUUCAAAAUCUAAUAGAAGGGUUGAAGGGUGAGUUGAGGAAGUCUCGCAGAAGACAGAACCAAACCCCAUGAGAUGGACGGUGAGCGCCCGGGCUGUGAGGAGGGCCUCGGCCGCGGCAGCUUCUGAUGGGCGCGGGGUAAGGGGGCCGUGUGGACACUGCCCAGUUUACAUAUUUCCUUUUAAAAAUAUGUGAGAUGUCUUGAACUAAAAAGGUACAGAAAACAUCAGUUGCCUGAAGAAAGAAAACGUUAGGGGCACUGGGCACGCGGCUCUGGAUCUCAGGGUUGUGAGUUCGAGGCCCACGUGGGGCGUAGAGAUGACGUUCAAAAACCAAGAAAGAAGGAAAGAAAAUGUCAAAGGGGCUUUUGAAGUGCCCACCGUCGCCUCCACUGCCCGCGUCCCGCGGAGAGUCCCGCCGCCCUCAACCGCUUGCUCUCUGUGUCAGCGCCCCCGGCCUCUGAGUGUCCAGUUGAGGCAUGGUAUCAGGAGCAUGGACUGCGGGGCACGGCGUGGCCGAGUCUGCUGGCUCGCCCGCUCCACGCUAUGUCUCCGAGGCCCAGUCGUGUCGGUCCACGUGACGCUGGCUCAUCGCUUGUCCACGUGGCUGCCUGGCCGCCGGGGUGAGGGGAAGACCCCGUUCCUGGGCCUGUGGCCGCUGGAGCCCCUCUGGGGCUCUUCCUCCCCUCUCCCUCCUCUCCUCUCCUCCCCGGCCCUGCACAAGCCUCCCGUGUGCAGGGUGGGCUGUUCUCAGCCCACAGCGCCCCGCCACUGCCCCGCGCUUUAUUUUCAUGUAUGCGUACGCACCGGUCGCUCCCGGGAGUGGAAAGUCAGGUUUACCGAGGCCUGAUUUACAUACGCAGAAGCUUACCCUUGAGAAAUGUACAGUUCAGUGGUUUUGACAAACACGGUCCCGUAGCCGCCGUGAUCAGGAUACAGAACAUUUUAUCGCCCCACGUCCCUCCCGAGCCCCCGGCAGCCCCCGGGUGACUGCGUCCGGCGGGUCUGCCUCUCCGGAAAUAUCCUCUAAAUGGACCGUGUGGCCUUUUGUGUCUGGCUUCUUUCCAUGCGUCACCAAGCCUUGCAGGCUCCUCGCCGUCAUGGCACAGGUGGGCCGCGACUCCGCUUCUCCGCUCACCAGCCUGCGGACCCCUGAGGCUUUGGGCUUUGGGCGCUCGGUGCCCGCGGCCUGGGGGGGGGCCGUGCGGGUCUCUGGGUGGCCGUGCGUGGUCCUUCCUCCCCCAGGAAGCACUUUAAGAGAAACCGCUGGGGAACCCAAAGGUGGGGGGGCAGGGAGCCCGCAGAGCGUCCGACUCUUGGUUCACCUCGGGGUGAUCUCAGGGUCGUUGGAUCGAGCCCCACGGCGGGCUCCACGCUCAGCUCGGAGUCAGCUGGAGAUUCCCUCUCCCUCUGCACGCCCCUCACGCUCACUGUCUCUGAAAUAAGUAAGUAAAUCUAAAAUACACAAAUAAAUGAGAGAGAAGCAGCCA
ensembl:lncRNA